UAGGGAAUAUUGGACAAUGGGCGCAAGCCUGAUCCAGCCAUGCCGCGUGAGUGAAGAAGGCCUUCGGGUUGUAAAGCUCUUUUGUCCGGAAAGAAAAGCUUCGGGUUAAUACCCUGGAGUCCUGACGGUACCGGAAGAAUAAGCACCGGCUAACUUCGUGCCAGCAGCCGCGGUAAUACGAAGGGUGCAAGCGUUACUCGGAAUUACUGGGCGUAAAGCGUGCGUAGGUGGUUUGUUAAGUCUGAUGUGAAAGCCCUGGGCUCAACCUGGGAAUGGCAUUGGAUACUGGCAGGCUAGAGUGCGGUAGAGGGUAGUGGAAUUCCCGGUGUAGCAGUGAAAUGCGUAGAGAUCGGGAGGAACAUCUGUGGCGAAGGCGACUACCUGGACCAGCACUGACACUGAGGCACGAAAGCGUGGGGAGCAAACA
rnacentral:rRNA from 1 species